rnacentral:rRNA from 1 species
UACAGAGGUCCCGAGCGUUGUUCGGAUUCAUUGGGCGUAAAGGGUGCGUAGGUGGCGCUGUAAGUGGGGUGUGAAAUCCCGGGGCUUAACCCCGGGACUGCAUUCCAUACUGCGGUGCUUGAGGACUGGAGAGGAGACUGGAAUUUACGGUGUAGCAGUGAAAUGCGUAGAGAUCGUAAGGAAGACCAGUGGCGAAGGCGGGUCUCUGGACAGUUCCUGACACUGAGGCACGAAGGCCAGGGAGCAAACGGG